rnacentral:rRNA from 1 species
AAAGGAAUAGACGGGGGCCCGCACAAGCAGUGGAGUAUGUGGUUUAAUUCGACGCAACGCGAAGAACCUUACCAGGUCUUGACAUCCGGUGCAUAGCAUGGAGACAUGUGAAAUCCUUCGGGACACCGAGACAGGUGGUGCAUGGUUGUCGUCAGCUCGUGUCGUGAGAUGUUGGGUUAAGUCCCGCAACGAGCGCAACCCUUAUCGUUAGUUACUACGCAAGAGGACUCUAGCGAGACUGCCGUUGACAAAACGGAGGAAGGUGGGGAUGACGUCAAAUCAGCAUGCCCUUUAUGACCUGGGCUACACACGUACUACAAUGGCCGUUAACAGAGGGAAGCGAAAGAGUGAUCUGGAGCAAAACCCAGAAAAACGGUCUCAGUUCGGAUCGCAGGCUGCAACCCGCCUGCGUGAAGCCGGAAUUGCUAGUAAUCGCGGAUCAGCAUGCCGCGGUGAAUACGUUCCCGGGCCUUGUACACACCGCCCGU